CAGUCGAGCGAGCUUGCCUAGAUGAUUUUAGUGCUUGCACUAAAUGAAACUAUAUACAAGCGAGCGGCGGACGGGUGAGUAACACGUGGGUAACCUGCCCAAGAGACUGGGAUAACACCUGGAAACAGAUGCUAAUACCGGAUAACAACACUAGACGCAUGUCUAGAGUUUGAAAGAUGGUUCUGCUAUCACUCUUGGAUGGACCUGCGGUGCAUUAGCUAGUUGGUAAGGUAACGGCUUACCAAGACAAUGAUGCAUAGCCGAGUUGAGAGACUGAUCGGCCACAUUGGGACUGAGACACGGCCCAAACUCCUACGGGAGGCAGCAGUAGGGAAUCUUCCACAAUGGACGAAAGUCUGAUGGAGCAACGCCGCGUGAGUGAAGAAGGGUUUCGGCUCGUAAAGCUCUGUUGGUAGUGAAGAAAGAUAGAGGUAGUAACUGGCCUUUAUUUGACGGUAAUUACUUAGAAAGUCACGGCUAACUACGUGCCAGCAGCCGCGGUAAUACGUAGAUGGCAAGCGUUGUCCGGAUUUAUUGGGCGUAAAGCGAGUGCAGGCGGUUCAAUAAGUCUGAUGUGAAAGCCUUCGGCUCAACCGGAGAAUUGCAUCAGAAACUGUUGAACUUGAGUGCAGAAGAGGAGAGUGGAACUCCAUGUGUAGCGGUGGAAUGCGUAGAUAUAUGGAAGAACACCAGUGGCGAAGGCGGCUCUCUGGUCUGCAACUGACGCUGAGGCUCGAAAGCAUGGGUAGCGAACAGGAUUAGAUACCCUGGUAGUCCAUGCCGUAAACGAUGAGUGCUAAGUGU
rnacentral:rRNA from 1 species